UACAGAGGGGGCAAGCGUUAUUCGGAAUUAUUGGGCGUAAAGGGCGCGUAGGCGGCCUGGCAAGUGGAUGGUGAAAUCCCUCGGCUUAACCGAGGAACUGCCAUCCAGACUGCUUGGCUUGAGACCGGGAGAGGUGAGUGGAAUUCCCAGUGUAGCGGUGAAAUGCGUAGAUAUUGGGAGGAACACCAGUGGCGAAGGCGGCUCACUGGACCGGUACUGACGCUGAGGCGCGAAAGCGUGGGUAGCAAACAGG
rnacentral:rRNA from 1 species